rnacentral:tRNA from 1 species
GCCCAGAUGGCGGAAUCGGUAGACGCGUUGGUCUCAAACACCAAUGCCGCAAGGCGUGCCGGUUCGACUCCGGCUCUGGGUACUA